GACGAACGCUGGCGGCGUGCUUAACACAUGCAAGUCGAACGGAAAGGCCCUGCUUUUGUGGGGUGCUCGAGUGGCGAACGGGUGAGUAACACGUGAGUAACCUGCCCUUGACUUUGGGAUAACUUCAGGAAACUGGGGCUAAUACCGGAUAGGAGCUCCUGCUGCAUGGUGGGGGUUGGAAAGUUUCGGCGGUUGGGGAUGGACUCGCGGCUUAUCAGCUUGUUGGUGGGGUAGUGGCUUACCAAGGCUUUGACGGGUAGCCGGCCUGAGAGGGUGACCGGCCACAUUGGGACUGAGAUACGGCCCAGACUCCUACGGGAGGCAGCAGUGGGGAAUAUUGCACAAUGGGCGGAAGCCGGAUGCAGCAACGCCGCGUGCGGGAUGACGGCCUUCGGGUUGUAAACCGCUUUCGCCUGUGACGAAGCGUGAGUGAAGGUAAUGGGUAAAGAAGCACCGGAUAACUACGUG
rnacentral:rRNA from 1 species